ACGCUGGCGGCAGGCUUAACACAUGCAAGUCGAGCGGGCGUAGCAAUACGUCAGCGGCAGACGGGUGAGUAACACGUGGGAACGUACCUUUUGGUUCGGAACAACUGAGGGAAACUUCAGCUAAUACCGGAUAAGCCCUAACGGGGAAAGAUUUAUCGCCGAAAGAUCGGCCCGCGUCUGAUUAGCUAGUUGGUGAGGUAAUGGCUCACCAAGGCGACGAUCAGUAGCUGGUCUGAGAGGAUGAUCAGCCACACUGGGACUGAGACACGGCCCAGACUCCUACGGGAGGCAGCAGUGGGGAAUAUUGGACAAUGGGGGCAACCCUGAUCCAGCCAUGCCGCGUGAGUGAUGAAGGCCCUAGGGUUGUAAAGCUCUUUUGUGCGGGAAGAUAAUGACGGUACCGCAAGAAUAAGCCCCGGCUAACUUCGUGCCAGCAGCCGCGGUAAUACGAAGGGGGCUAGCGUUGCUCGGAAUCACUGGGCGUAAAGGGUGCGUAGGCGGGUCUUUAAGUCAGGGGUGAAAUCCUGGAGCUCAACUCCAGAACUGCCUUUGAUACUGAGGAUCUUGAGUCCGGAAGAGGUGAGUGGAACUGCGAGUGUAGAGGUGAAAUUCGUAGAUAUUCGCAAGAACACCAGUGGCGAAGGCGGCUCACU
rnacentral:rRNA from 1 species